UACGGAGGGAGCUAGCGUUAUUCGGAAUUACUGGGCGUAAAGCGCACGUAGGCGGCUUUGUAAGUUAGAGGUGAAAGCCUGGAGCUCAACUCCAGAAUUGCCUUUAAGACUGCAUCGCUUAAUCCAGGAGAGGUGAGUGGAAUUCCGAGUGUAGAGGUGAAAUUCGUAGAUAUUCGGAAGAACACCAGUGGCGAAGGCGGCUCACUGGACUGGUAUUGACGCUGAGGUGCGAAACGUGGGGAGCAAACGG
rnacentral:rRNA from 1 species